GUGCGUCAGGACACGCUGGCGGCGUGCCUAAUACAUAGCAAGUCGAACGGCUUUUCUAUGGAAGCUUGCUUCCACUGAGAAGAUAGUGGCGAACGGGUGAGUAACACGUGGGUAACCUGCCCAUAAGAGGGGGGAUAACAUCCGGAAACGGUAGCUAAUACCGCAUAGUUUUCUUGAUCGCAUGAUUGAGAAAGGAAAGACGGCCUUUGUGCUGUCGCUUAUGGAUGGACCCGCGGCGUAUUAGUUAGUUGGUGAGGUAACGGCUCACCAAGACGAUGAUACGUAGCCGACCUGAGAGGGUGAUCGGCCACAUUGGGACUGAGACACGGCCCAAACUCCUACGGGAGGCAGCAGUAGGGAAUCUUCCGCAAUGGACGAAAGUCUGACGGAGCAACGCCGCGUGAGUGAAAGAAGGUUUUCGGAUCGUAAAACUCUGUUGUCAGAGAAGAACAAGUUGGAGAGUAACUGCUCCAGCCUUGACGGUAUCUGACCAGAAAGCCACGGCUAACCACGUGCCAGCCGCGGC
rnacentral:rRNA from 1 species